UUCUGAAAGGCGGGCGGCGAAAUCAAAGGAUAGGAGGGCGAUGCUUGCAAAGGGCAGGGAAGGAUCGAUGAUCUCGAUGUCACCCCUCUCCAUCGCCCUCUUUCACCUGCCAGGGUCCUGCGCCCUGCAUGGAAGUCGGGGAGGCUCCGCUGAAAGGUGGGGCUCUCCUUGGUCUCUGGGUCCAGCGCAGGACGGACAGAUCUGGGGCUGAACGUCGGAAGGCGGCUGGUAGCUCCUUUUCCACUGACACCUUUCCUUGCAAAAGGAGAUCUUCGUGAGUGCAGCCGCCUCGGUCAGAUGCAGACACUGAAGCAGGAUGGAAAUCGGGGAGGGAAAGGCAGGUUGGAUCCGGGGCUGCGAACGAGGGGAAGCCUCGCCCUCUGCCUCGCCCUGGAGGUCGUCAGGAUGGCUGGAGCAGAGAGCUUCCUUCCCUCCAUGCUCCCUUCCUGGAGACGGGACUUGCUCUCUAGGGGUAAAGCGUUUCUCCCGGCGGUUCGUUUGCCGGGUUGCUAGAGCAGAAGGGAGCGUAGAGGACUGAGGGUUUCGGUUUAACGGAGCUGGCGUCGAUCCCUUCGUUUUUCAUGUCUCUGUUUAAAUACUAAUCCUCUGGAAACCGUAAAAGAUUAUCUUGCAGAAAAUCUUACCUAUCUGAUUAAUCAAUACGUAUUUGAUGGUCCGUAAUCAAUUUAUCAAGAAUUUGUAUAACUAAAGAUCGAGAAUAAGCUAAAAAAAUUCUCAAUUUCAUAUGAUAACUAAAUGGACUUCUCAGAGUAGCUAUUUGCAUAUGUUUUACACAGGAAUUAUACUUUUCUCCUUUACCUGUUGAAUUUAUAAUAUAAAACUAUUUAUUAUUUACCAUCCAAAGCUCUUUGAAAAUCGGAGUGUUGUUUUCAGUUAAGGUCUUCUGCUAAAAGACAAGAACUAAACUCAGAAUAAAGAGUAGCAAAGUUGGUUCUUAAACGCCCCCACCCCCAAAUUUGAGCAUUUGUUAUAGGAGGCUUUUCCCUUUCUGGUCAAAUAUUACUGGUAGUUUGUAAAUGGGGAAGAAGAACCGCUUACUUCCAAUCCUAACUCAACUCUGGGGGUUCCAGUGGGCUUUGGCUGAGGUGUGGCUGAGAAGAGGGAAGCCCCCUGCUAAAUCAUGCAUUUGUACUUUGAUUAUUCCUCUGCCAUGAAUUUUUAUUUUUAUUAUUUCAGAGGUAUUAUAAUUUUGUUGCUAUUUAUAUAUUACUAUUUUUAUUACUUUUAGCUUUGUAAGUCGCCCAGAGUUCCUUUGCUGAGACAGGUGGCAAAUAAACUAUAAUUUAAUCACCCCCCAAUUGGAGAAUGGCUUAGACGGAGUCUUUAUGCAUAAAUACAUUUGCCGACUAAAUCUGUGUUCAUGUGUUUCUGCUCCAGUGACCUCCUAUGUGCUUAAUUUCACCCAAUCCGCGGCUAGCAGGGCCAGCAGCUGCUCCAGCACCACCAGGUCCAGCCCCUUUGCUGCUCUUCUCUGGCCGCAGCCACUGGCGGCACAGGUGGUGCAGGUGGCUGCAAAGCUCCGGGGCCCCUUGGCCUCCUGGCGGCAGCUGUCAAGACUGCGGAAGCACCGGCGGUGGAUCUCUGGGCUCAGGGUGGCCUCCAUCCCUGGGUCUCCGUCGGGUCCCCUGCUUGAAGGCAGCCACAAGAAGCCCGAGAGAGUCCCAAAUGUCCCCCAGCCCCUCUGAAACGCCUUCUCCGGUUUGCAGGAGGGCAGAAAUGGGUCUCCGCUCACUCAGCCUUUACCCGCCUGAGGAGAGCAACGGCAAAUCCUUCCCGCCAAUUUCCUGAGUGCUCCUGACCUCAAGUGACAGAACAAGGAGCCAGAACAAUAGAUGUGUGCUUCCUAGAGCGGACCUGGUAGGAAGAGGAUGAAAAGUGACCUUCCUUUUCCAACCUCCCGGAAUUUCUACGCCGCUGCUCUUCUUCGGAGGAGGGUGGGGCUCGUAGAAAGGAGAGUGGCGGAAGCUGGGACAGCGAUGCUGGUAAAGGACCGAUGAUCUCGGCAUCGCCCCUCUUCAUCGGCCGCUUUCACCUGCCUAGGUCUUGCACCCUGCAUGGAAGUCGGGGAGGCUCCGCUGAAAGGUGGGGCUCUCCUUGGUCUCUGGGUCCAGCUCAGGACGGACGGAUCGGGGGCUGAAUUUUGUUGCUAUAUAUAUAUCAGUAUUUUAUUUCUUUUAAUUUUUAAGCCACCCAGACUGCUCUAGUGAUCAGCGCCCGGUCAGCCUGGGACAAGCUGAGGCAUUGUGGGCCGGUCCUUCACUGUUUCCAGGGUGGCUCCGGGGGCGAAAUGUAACACGAACAAUCUUGAAAGCCAAAUGUGAGUGGACACUGUGUUCAAGUGCACAUAGACUCAGCUUUUGGUAUUAAACACAGCUGCUGAAUGAUGGAGCUGGAACGCUACUGUUCUCAGAAGAAAC